UUUGAUCGAGCCGAGCAGCAACGGCGACGGCCGGUCCUGGCCGUAAGUGGCCAGCAAAGCCUGCGCCUC
rnacentral:antisense_RNA from 1 species